rnacentral:rRNA from 1 species
AACGAACGCUGGCGGCAUGCCUAACACAUGCAAGUCGAACGAGACCUUCGGGUCUAGUGGCGCACGGGUGCGUAACGCGUGGGAAUCUGCCCUUGGGUUCGGAAUAACAGCGAGAAAUUGCUGCUAAUACCGGAUGAUGACGUAAGUCCAAAGAUUUAUCGCCCAAGGAUGAGCCCGCGUAGGAUUAGCUAGUUGGUGAGGUAAAGGCUCACCAAGGCGACGAUCCUUAGCUGGUCUGAGAGGAUGAUCAGCCACACUGGGACUGAGACACGGCCCAGACUCCUACGGGAGGCAGCAGUGGGGGAAUAUUGGGACAAUGGGGCGAAAGCCUGAUCCAGCAAUGCCGCGUGAGUGAUGAAGGCCUUAGGGUUGUAAAGCUCUUUUUACCCGGGACUGAUAAUGACAGUACCGGGAGAAUAAGACUCCGGCUAACUCCGU